GCUUGCUGUAGAGACUGCUACCACCGGCUGGCUAGGUCACUCUUUCUCCAGAGAUGGAUAUUUGGAUUACUUCCAACUCCUGGCCAUUGGAUAAUAAAUAUAUCAGGAAACCAGGCUUCCACAGUAAGAUGAGAAAUAGAGGCUUAGCAGCAGAUGAAGAAAAGAAGCUGUAUGAGGUCACCUUGGACAAUCUGUUGACUAAUGUGGGUUGGCACAGGAAAAGGACUGAACCAGUCUGCUUAGGGCAAGCAUCCACCAACUUUGCUGCUCCUGUUCUGAGGCACUUCCAGCUUCAAUGCAGUAAUUUCAUUUUUCAUACUGCUUCUGAUGUAAACCAGCUUCUGGAUCACAUUGCAAAGUAUUUUGAUGGCUGAGGAAAGGUUAUCUCAUGUGAAAUUUAGGUUUUUCAUUUUUGUGAUUCAAGCACAUUAGUGGUUACAAAACCUGAAAUAGACAUUUUCACUGGGAAAUCUGAAUAAAUGGUAGCUGCUUUCUGGCAGAUGGAGGAAUAUAGUUCAUAUCUAAAUAUGAGCUUUGUUUAUUUUUAUCAGAUUACCAACUCCACAAAUUGGAUUAAUGUAUAAAUUUAAAUGUGGCAGGCAUAAAGCUUCAUAGAAGGGAUUUUAUUUCUAACCUUCCAAUAUUACUGGGUAACUUAAAAUUUUUAAGUAGGGUUCAAUCUUAUUGAGUUAUUUAAAAAGUAAUACAGCAGGAUGGUAUUCUUUACUCUGACUCCAGUAGUGGUGGUAUAUACAAUGAUGGUAUUUCUAUGAUAGGCUACUUGAAAGGAUGUUGUCUGCUAAUUGAAUAUACUGGCAUUCUGUAGGUAAAAGGUAGAAAAAUUAAAACUGCUGCUGAGGCUCUGUGAAAAAUUGUCAGUUGCUACUGAGAAAGCUGUGCAUUCGGCAUCCAAAAGCCCAGGGGGUCUUAGACAUAGUCAGAGGCAACACUGAACUCUUUAACUAAGGUCAGCUUGGCACUUAAGGUCAAUGAUUCCUGGGGUCUCUGUCAUCAAUUGCCUUUUGGAGUAGUGAAUAAAAAGUGGACUUCACUGUC